rnacentral:rRNA from 1 species
UACGUAGGGUGCGAGCGUUGUCCGGAAUUAUUGGGCGUAAAGAGCUUGUAGGCGGUUUGUCGCGUCUGCCGUGAAAAUUCGAGGCUCCAACCUCGAACUUGCGGUGGGUACGGGCAGACUAGAGUGUGGUAGGGGAGACUGGAAUUCCUGGUGUAGCGGUGAAAUGCGCAGAUAUCAGGAGGAACACCGAUGGCGGAAGGCAGGUCUCUGGGCCACUACUGACGCUGAGAAGCGAAAGCAUGGGGAGCGAACAGG